GAUGAACGCUGGCGGCGUGCCUAAUACAUGCAAGUCGAGCGAACGGACGAGAAGCUUGCUUCUCUGAUGUUACCUGCGGACGGGUGAGUAACACGUGGAUAACUUACCUAUAAGACUGGGAUACUUUCGGGAAACCGGAGCUAAUACCGGUUGAUAUUUUGAACCGGAUGGUUCUAAAGUGAAAGCCGGCCUUGCUGUCCCUAAUACAUGGACCCGCGCUGCAUUAGCUAGUUGGUAAGGUAACGGCUUACCAAGGCAACGAUGCAUAGCCGACCUGAGAGGGUGAUCGGCCACACUGGAACUGAGACACGGUCCAGACUCCUACGGGAGGCAGCAGUAGGGAAUCUUCCGCAAUGGGCGAAAGCCUGACGGAGCAACGCCGCGUGAGUGAUGAAGGUCUUCGGAUCGUAAAACUCUGUUAUUAGGGAAGAACAUAUGUGUAAGUAACUGUGCACAUCUUGACGGUACCUAAUCAGAAAGCCACGGCUAACUACGUG
rnacentral:rRNA from 1 species